AGUGAACGCUGGCGGCAGGCCUAACACAUGCAAGUCGAACGGCAGCACAGGGGAGCUUGCUCCCUGGGUGGCGAGUGGCGGACGGGUGAGGAAUACAUCGGAAUCUACCCUUUCGUGGGGGAUAACGUAGGGAAACUUACGCUAAUACCGCAUACGAUCUGAGGAUGAAAGCAGGGGACCGCAAGGCCUUGCGCGAUUGGAUGAGCCGAUGUCCGAUUAGCUAGUUGGCGGGGUGAAGGCCAACCAAGGCGACGAUCGGUAGCUGGUCGGAGAGGAUGAUCAGCCACACUGGAACUGAGAAACGGUCCAGACUCCUACGGGAGGCAGCAGUGGGGAAUAUUGGACAAUGGGCGCAAGCCUGAUCCAGCCAUGCCGCGUGUGUGAAGAAGGCCUUCGGGUUGUAAAGCACUUUUGUUGGGAAAGAAAACCUGUCGGCUAAUACCCGGCGGGGAUGACGGUACCCAAAGAAUAAGCACCGGCUAACUUCGUGCCAGCCGCCGCGGUAA
rnacentral:rRNA from 1 species